UACGAAGGGGGCUAGCGUUGCUCGGAAUCACUGGGCGUAAAGCGCACGUAGGCGGUUUGUUAAGUCAGGGGUGAAAUCCUGGAGCUCAACUCCAGAACUGCCUUUGAUACUGGCGAUCUUGAGUUCGGGAGAGGUGAGUGGAACUGCGAGUGUAGAGGUGAAAUUCGUAGAUAUUCGCAAGAACACCAGUGGCGAAGGCGGCUCACUGGCCCGAUACUGACGCUGAGGUGCGAAAGUGUGGGGAGCGAACAGG
rnacentral:rRNA from 1 species